UACGUAGGGGGCUAGCGUUGUCCGGAAUCAUUGGGCGUAAAGAGCGUGUAGGCGGUCCGGUAAGUCCGCUGUGAAAGUCGGGGGCUCAACCCUCGAAUGCCGGUGGAUACUGUCGGGCUAGAGUGCGGAAGAGGCGAGUGGAAUUCCUGGUGUAGCGGUGAAAUGCGCAGAUAUCAGGAAGAACACCAAUGGCGAAGGCAGCUCUCUGGGACGGUACUGACGCUGAGACGCGAAAGCGUGGGGAGCGAACAGG
rnacentral:rRNA from 1 species